UAAGCACCUCGUUAGGUGAGGCGGCUACACGAACAUAGGCCACUGACCCCGAACGUCGAGAGACGCCCCGGGUCAGGACAGCUCUUCCCGGCUUAAGGGUUGAGCCCAGGUGGCUUCCGGCUUACCGGACAGGUCGUGUGGUGCGAAAGCCUGACAGAAGGGGUCGGUU
rnacentral:sRNA from 17 species